GACUUCUCCUCGUAGCCCAGCUUGAAUAUUUUCCAUUCCAUGUGUUAUCUUUUCCUUAUGCUGCUUUUUAUUUUUUAAUAAUGUGGUGAUGAAUGCCUUCACUUCUGGGGGGACAUUAUCGCAUCGUUGGACAUUAUUUCCUGGAUCUAAUCCACUAAGAUGGUACUUAAGCCGUGUCACUCCGCCUCUCUUCAUUACCCGACCACAAUAUUUGCAAAUUGUGCCAUGUUUGUUUCCGUCUAUUGGGUCUCCAUGUUCCCAAGCUGGAUCACGUUUAGGAACUCCACUGGACAUCUUAA
rnacentral:lncRNA from 1 species